CAUUAGAAACCGGUCUCUCGCUGAUUCCGGCUAACUUAUGAAAAAUUCUUAGGAAUUGGGAAAUUUAUAAGCCGACCGAAUUUUUUUGUUAUUCUGAUACGGGCUUUAACACGCGCAGUGCUUAUUACGUAAUAUCGAUCAAAAAUACUAUAUUUUGUUCGUAAAUAAAUUACAAUUUGCACGGAUAAAAACCGAGCUAGCAACGUGAUCAGUUUGAAAUUUCGCAACCGGCAAUUAAUAAAUUUAAUCCGAGAGUCGUGAAGACCGGUCGUAAACGUCUUUUAUUCCGUCUAAGGCCUGGUUUCACAAACUCCGGUUAAAUUAACCGGCCGGUUAUUCUAUUGGAAUUGACCAAUCGCAUUUGUUAAUUUCGCUUAAUGACAAAUACGAUUGGUUAAUUCCAGUGAAAUAAUCGGUCGGUUAAGGUAACCGAAGAUUGUGAAACUGGCCCUAAGAAAAUCACGAUGGGCAAUAAACCGGCGAUAAAUCAGUAACCUCACGGUAGAAAAAAAAA